CCUACGGGAGGCAGCAGUGGGGAAUAUUGGACAAUGGGGGGAACCCUGAUCCAGCGACGCCGCGUGAGUGAAGAAGUAUUUCGGUAUGUAAAGCUCUAUCAGCAGGGAAGAAAGAAAUGACGGUACCUGAAUAAGAAGCCCCGGCUAACUACGUGCCAGCAGCCGCGGUAAUACGUAGGGGGCAAGCGUUAUCCGGAUUUACUUGGUGUAAAGGGAGCGUAGACGGCGAUGCAAGUCUGAAGUGAAUGGCGGGGGCCCAACCCCCGGACUGCUUUGGAAACUGUAUGGCUGGAGUGCAGGAGAGGUAAGUGGAAUUCCUGGUGUAGCGGUGAAAUGCGUAGAUAUUAGGAGGAACACCAGUGGCGAAGGCGGCUUACUGGACUGUAACUGACGUUGAGGCUCGAAAGCGUGGGGAGCAAACAGGAUUAGAUACCCGUGUAGUC
rnacentral:rRNA from 1 species